rnacentral:lncRNA from 1 species
CAUUCAUACAUCCAGCCACACACAGUGUCCCUUCCUGCCUCCACUAAUGCAGGUGACGGAGAAAGCAGGUGAAUUUGAAACAGAGUGGGGACAUAAUACCCUCAGCUUAAGAAUGAUUCAUGCUGGCAACAGUUUGGAGGAUGGAUUGGUGAAGAAGAAGCUAGAAACCAGGAACACAGAAGAGUGAAAGGCAGUGCUACAGGAGCAUAAAGGGAGCAGAGUUGCAGAUGGCAUAUUGUA